GGAUUGUGGCUCAGCGGUAGAGCGCUCGCCUAGCACACGCGGACCUGGGUUUGAUUCUCAGCACCA
rnacentral:tRNA from 1 species